rnacentral:rRNA from 1 species
UACGGAGGGGGCUAGCGUUGUUCGGAAUUACUGGGCGUAAAGCGCACGUAGGCGGCUUUGUAAGUUAGAGGUGAAAGCCCGGGGCUCAACUCCGGAACUGCAUUGGAUACUGCCCUGCUUGAGUACUGGAGAGGAGACUGGAAUUUACGGUGUAGCAGUGAAAUGCGUAGAGAUCGUAAGGAAGACCAGUGGCGAAGGCGAGUCUCUGGACAGUUACUGACGCUGAGGCACGAAGGCCAGGGGAGCAAACGGG